rfam:Schistosoma rodhaini strain Burundi genome assembly, scaffold: SROB_scaffold0000293
GCAUUGCUGAGGAGUCCCACACUGGGACGAAACGGUCGUUCAGUGC